UGGGGAAUAUUGGACAAUGGGCGAAAGCCUGAUCCAGCCAUGCCGCGUGUGUGAAGAAGGCCUUUUGGUUGUAAAGCACUUUAAGCGAGGAGGAGGCUACUUGGAUUAAUACUCUAGGAUAGUGGACGUUACUCGCAGAAUAAGCACCGGCUAACUCUGUGCCAGCAGCCGCGGUAAUACAGAGGGUGCGAGCGUUAAUCGGAUUUACUGGGCGUAAAGCGUGCGUAGGUGGCUUUUUAAGUCGGAUGUGAAAUCCCUGAGCUUAACUUAGGAAUUGCAUUCGAUACUGGGAAGCUAGAGUAUGGGAGAGGAUGGUAGAAUUCCAGGUGUAGCGGUGAAAUGCGUAGAGAUCUGGAGGAAUACCGAUGGCGAAGGCAGCCAUCUGGCCUAAUACUGACGCUGAGGUACGAAAGCAUGGGGAGCAAACAGG
rnacentral:rRNA from 1 species